rnacentral:lncRNA from 1 species
CUUGUAAACAAUAGAAAUUUAUUUCUCAUGGUUCUUAAAGCUGAAUGUCCAAGAUCAGGGGGCCAGCAUGACCAGAUGAAGGCCCUCUUCUGGGUCGCAGACUUCUUUUAUCCUCAUGCAGCGGAGAAGGCUAGGGAGCUCGGUGGGGCCUCUUCUUUAAGGGCACUAAUCCCACUCAGGAGGGCUCCACCCUCAUGACCUAAUCACCUCCCAAACACCCCACCUCCUAACACCAUCAGCGUGGGGGUUAGGAUUCCAACAUACGAACAUAUGAGCACAAACAUUCAGACCAUAACAGUAUUAAACCUCAUGACUCCAUGAACAGCAAUUAUUUAAAUGUAGUUUUUUCAGGUAUUCAUGGUUUCAUCACUCACUAUAGCAUUCUGCUUUGAGUUUAUUCACUUAAUCCACAAAUACUGACCUGCCAAUAACCACAAGCUCACAUUCUCUGUCCUCCUGGAACAUACAUCCCACCCCACUCCACCCCCACAGAGCUAUCAGUUAUAUUGUGUUUGGCUGGAGUAUGCCCUUAAGUCUCUCUCUCGCUCUCUUUUUUUUUUUUUAAUUUCUUCUUGCCCCGGAAGGACACAGGCUCAUCCUUGACCUCCUCCAGGUCUUGGAUCAGAUGUCAGCUUCUCAGAAGCACUUCCAAAUCCACACCAUUUACAAGAACAUCUUCCUGCUCACAGCAUUCUCUGUGUUAUUCUCCUGCAGCACGCUUCUCACACUUGCAACAUCACAUCAUCACUGAAGGCAACAAGAAUUUUAAGACACACACUAUUAUGCUGUGUGUCACUAAAAGAUUUGAUAGCUGAGUCAUGGCCUUAAUGUUGCAUCGCACUGCUCAGGUUCCUUUGAGUAAGUCAGGGAUUUUACAGCCCUGGGUUGAAAUCCUUGGCAUGUGAUAGGCAUCCCUUUGCAAAUACAGCCAAUAAAGCAGUAUGCAGCCACAGUCACUUGGAGGUACCUGCCUUUCUUAAGAUGUCAAAAUAUCACUGGUUGUUUAUAAGAAAAUAAGGAAUUGUGGUCAUUCUUCCAAGAAUGAAUAUUCACUUCUUGGUUUCCAUGACUUUCGUCUUGAAAGCCAUAUAAAUUCAUCUAUUUACGUUUCAUUUGAUAAUCUCAUUUUAUGGGAAAAGAUAUGUGAUAUGCUCUUCCACAUUAAUUAGCACAACUCAGCUUCUCAUUUUUGACAACUACCAUAUGAUAUCACUUAUAUGUGAUAUCUUAAAUAUGACACAAAUGAACUGAUCUACGGAACAGAAGCAAACUCAGAUAUAGAGAACACAUUGUAGUUGCCAAGGAGAAGAGGGGUGGGGGAGGGAUGGACUGAGAGUCUGGGAUUAGCAGAUGCAAGUGAUUACACGUAGGAUGGAUAAACAAGAUCCUACCGUAGAGCACAGGGAACUAUAUUCAAUAUCCUGUGAUAAACCAUAAUGGAAAAGAAUAUGAAAAAGAUAUAUAUGUAUAACUGAGUCACUCUGCUGUAUAGCAAAAACUAACACAACAUUGUAAAUCAACUAUACUGCAAUAAAUCCACUUUUCAACAAAUAUUUUCAUUUCAAGUCUAAACAGCAUUUUGAGUCUUUAAGUUCUUAAUACCACAAACUCAUCCUCAGGUGACUGAUGAUCUUAGUGCUAGGUACAGUGGGAAACUGUUACCUUCUCUCCAUUUAAAAUUCACAGACUAACAAGCUGGGGGGAAGAAAGUCUCUUGAUCCAGGGAUCCAGGGAUCCUGAAAGCCUGGUCAGGAAAUAUCACCAAUCACAGCCUGGGUGCUCGACCCAGCAUUCAUCUCAUUCAUUCAGUAUGAUUCAGUGAGUUCCCAGUAGUGGCUCCAGGCACUGGGCCAGGCACAGGACAACAUGAGGCAUGUCCAGUAUCUGCGGGGAAAUAACUGAGCAAAUCUGUCAUUAGAAUGAAGUUAAAUUUUACUGAGCAGUUAUUCAUUCUCUCACACGGUGCUCUUUCCUAAGAAACAUAUCCACUCUAUUCAAAUAAUAAAAACCCUUUAUGGGGAAGGAACUGGUUGAACUGAGACACUGCCACAUGGAUUCCACUUCCCCAAAGGAUUCACUGAAGGCCCCUUUUCCAAAUUUCAGGUAGGAGCAUCCCAAAGUGCUUCCUCCAAGAACAGGGGAGAUUCCAACUUUUUUUCUUUUCUUUUUAGGGCUGCACUUGUGGCAUAGGGCAGUUCCCAGUCUAGGGGUUGAAUCAAACCACAGCUGGGACCUGCACCACAGCCACAGCAAUACCACAUCCAAGCCAUAUCUGUGACCUACACUUCAGCUUUUGACCCAAGGCAGCUACAGGCCUAUACCCCAGCCACAGCAACACUGGAUCCUUAACCUACUGAGCGAGGCCAGGUAUCGAACCUGAAUCCUCAUGGAUACUAGUCGGGUUCUUAACCCACUGAGCCAUAAAGGGAACUCUGCGAUUCCAACUUUCAAGGGCCUCACGCCCCAGUGCCCCACAGCCCUCGUAGGCAGACAAAUCUCUGCAACCUUUAACUAUGACAUGGAAUUAGAGCUUAGGGCCCAAAGAAAUAUAUAUUUAUAUAUAUUUAUACACACUCCCACACAUAUAUAUACAUAUAUAUUCUUUAAAUCGUUUUACCACAUUUUAGCACAUGCCCAGAUUUUGCCAUAAAAGAGUCUCAUUUUGCCACCCUCUGUACUUAAAAGCAGCCGAACCACAUGCAUUUCUUUGUGAUAAAUUUCUUUUGCUUAAUAUUGUAAGAUUCAUCCCUGUGGAUGAGUGGAGCUGUUGUGCUCUUCUUCCUGGUGUGGUACAGAAUUCUAUCUGAUGACUUUCUCACCAUAUAUUCAUCUAUCCUAUGGUGAUAAACACUGGCAUGUAUUCCCUUUCGGGUUGCUGUGAAUAUCCUUAUAUUUGGCUCCUGAUGCACAUACAGAGCAGUUUCUCAGGUACAUGUGGGGCAGGUAAAUCCCUAAAAUGGCCUCACAAGACUUCCCACCCUCAUCCCUGGGACCGUGGCAGUGAGGAAGCAGCACACUUGUGAUGAUAGUAAAUUACAUGGCCAAAGAGAUUUUGCACACAUAAUUACAGUCACUAAUCAGUUGGCUUGGAAGUUAACUCAAAAACUUGGGUCUGAGCUCCAGUGCUGCUGUUUUCUAGCUGUGUGACCUCAGGCAAGUUCCUUGACUUCUCUAUGCCUCAGUUUCCCCAUAGAGAAAUAGAGGGUAAUGAGAGGACAUCGCUCUUGGGUUGUAGUGAAGAUGAACAGAUAAAGAACUUGGCAGAAGUAACCUGCUACAAUUUCAGAAAACCAGAAGGAUCCUGAUGGAGCAGCCAGUAUGAUUGGGGUCACAGCUUCCAUCAUAGAGAAUUGGACUCUAUGGAACAGUAUGGAGGUUCCUUAAAAAGCUAUAUACAGAACUACCAUAUAAUUCAACAACCCCACUCUGGGGCAUAUAUCCAGAGAAAACCAUAAUUUGAAAAGGUCCAUGCACCCCAAUGUUCACAGCUGCACUGUUUGCAAUAGCCAAGACAUGGAAGCAACCUAGAUGUCUAUCAACAAAGGAAUAGAUAAAGAUGUGUAUACAACGGAAUACUACUCAGCCAUAAAAAAAGAAUGCAAUAAUGCCCUUUGCAGCAACAUGGUGGACCUAAGUGAAGGAAGUCAGACAGAGAAAGACAAAUAUCAUGAGAUCACUAAUACGUGGAAUCAAAAAUGAUACAAAAGAACUUUUUCACAAAACAGAAACUGACCCAAAGAUUUUGAAACCAAACGAGGAAACAUUUGGGGGAAAGGUAAGUUGUGAGUUUGGGAUUAACAUAUACACACUACUAUAUAUAUAAAAAAAGGAAUUCUCAUUGUGGCUCAACUGUAAUGAACUCAACUAACAUCCAUGAGGACGCAGAUUCGAUCUCCGGCCUUGCUCAGUGGGUUAGGGGUCCAGAGUUGCUGUGAGCUGUAGUAUAGACCACCAGCUAGAGCUCUGAUUUCAUCCCUAGUCUAGGAACUUCCAUAUGCCACAGGUGCAGC